rnacentral:rRNA from 1 species
CAGCCGCCGCGGUAAUACGUAGGUGGCAAGCGUUGUCCGGAAUUAUUGGGCGUAAAGGGCUCGCAGGCGGUUUCUUAAGUCUGAUGUGAAAGCCCCCGGCUCAACCGGGGAGGGUCAUUGGAAACUGGGAAACUUGAGUGCAGAAGAGGAGAGUGGAAUUCCACGUGUAGCGGUGAAAUGCGUAGAGAUGUGAGGAACACCAGUGGCGAAGGCGACUCUCUGGUCUGUAACUGACGCUGAGGAGCGAAAGCGUGGGGAGCGAACAGGAUUAGAUACCCGUGUAGUCCCUGUCUCUUAUACC